UUCAGUUUAUAAACUAUUGUAUAGUUAUUGUAUGCAAAUUACAGCGUGUGCUUUAAGUGAUAAGUGAUAACAGUCAUGAAGAGAUAAGAGACCACUAUGAAAAAAAUAGGUCAAAAAUGUGAAACAGCAUUUUUGCAAAUACUAUGACUCAUGAUAAUUGAAUGCUUAGCAAUUGUCGAGAUGUCGACACAUCAUGUUACGUAAAUCACGUUGAGCAUCAUUCAUUGCCAUUCACAGUGAUUAAAAGAAUACCUCCAACAUCAGAAAAUACGGAAAAUACGUCGGAGCAUCAAUCCAAGAUCUUAGGCGCCACUACACGAUAACGAGCAGCUCGUGCAUAAGCAACGGAUCGAAUUGCUCGACCA